CAGUCGCCACGGGAAUACGUAGGUGGCAAGCGUUGUCCGGAAUUAUUGGGCGUAAAGCGCGCGCAGGUGGUUUAAUAAGUCUGAUGUGAAAGCCCACGGCUCAACCGUGGAGGGUCAUUGGAAACUGUUAAACUUGAGUGCAGGAGAGAAAAGUGGAAUUCCUAGUGUAGCGGUGAGAUGCGUAGAGAUUAGGAGGAACACCAGUGGCGAAGGCGGCUUUUUGGUCUGUCACUGACGCUGAGGCUCGAAAGCGUGGGUAGCGAACAGGAUUAGAUACCCCAGUAGUCCCUGUCUCUAUACA
rnacentral:rRNA from 1 species